rnacentral:snoRNA from 15 species
UGGCUAAUGAUGUUCUCUGCGAAAUACACAACUUACUACAAACUGAUCUUAUUUGAAUUGAGGGUUACUGUAGCUACUACUGUAGCUACCGUAAUCCUCACAGUGUGAACUUAAAUUAAAGACUGAAGCUU